ensembl:snRNA Gm23354 predicted gene, 23354
GUGCUCACUUCAGCCGCACAAAUACUAAGUUGGAAUGAUGCGGAGAUGUUUAGCAUGGCCUGUGCAAGGCUGACAGUCAAGUUUGAGAAGUGUUCCAUGUUUUU